AACGUAGGAGGCGAGCGUUAUCCGGAGUUACUGGGCGUAAAGCGCGUGUAGGCGGUUCGACAAGCUGGGUGUGAAAGCGCCAGGCUCAACCUGGCGAGGCCAUCCAGGACUGUCGGGCUGGAGGCCGGUAGAGGAGUGCGGAAUUCCGGGUGUAGCGGUGAAAUGUGUAGAGAUCCGGAGGAACACAAGUGGUGCAGACGGCGCUCUGGGCCGGGCCUGACGCUGAGACGCGAAAGCGUGGGGAGCGAACGGG
rnacentral:rRNA from 1 species